AGUUAAGCAAGACGUUGCUUGCUGAUAUGUCUCUAUGCACUAUUGGAGGGACACAAUCAUGAUGGAGAUAUGAGAGAGCAUGUGCAGUUCCUUUCACUGUGUUAACCCUCUUUUUCCAAUCAAAUUCUAUUGCUUCCCUGUCAUCGAACAACACAGAAAGCAAGCUUCCUUUCUCCAUGUACUCAUAGAUCAAAAACAUUAUUCUUUUGUGUAAGCAGAAUCCAUGGAGCUUUACUAUAUGUCGGUGCUUUAUUUCCGAUAGUACUUUGGCUUCGUUUCUGAAACUCUCAUCAAAAGUGGGGACCUCUGCUUCAAAACCAUGGAGUUUCUUCACCGCAACAAUCUUUCCACUAGGUAAUUGAGCCCUAUAGACGCUUCCGUACGCACCUGUUCCUAUACAAUAUUUGAGAUCAAAGUCUUCGGUUACUGUAAUGAUGUCUUCAUAGGCUAUGCUUCCGUCAUAGUUCCAUAUGCAAAACAAGUCCCCAUUCUUAGAUUUUUCAGUUAUCAUUUCAUGUUUUUUCUUGGCUACAAUGCAGUUGUGCCUCAUAUAUAAAAGUAGUAAGAAGGCCAUGAUUAGAAAUAUGGUGAUGAAAAGAAUUAUGACCAACUGCCUUCGUUUUUGUUUCUUCUGGUUGACUGGACAAGGCUGAAAUUGGAAAUUGAUUUGUAUAUGUGAAACGUUGCUGCAUACACCCUUGUUUCCCAUUAGUGCAUAUGGACUCACACCAUUUGGAAUGGGACCAUUCAUAUUAUUGAAGCAAAGGUCCACAUAGUGGACAUUAUGUAGGGACACAGGAAUUCCUCCGAUAAGACUAUUGUAACUUAGAUCCAGACUUUUCAAAAGUGGAAAAUAUCCGACUGAGAAAGGUUCAAGGGAACCGGUGAGUAGAUUGUGUGAAAUGUCAAUAUUUUGAAGGUUCAUGAGGUUUGAAAGUGAAAUGGGCAAGGUUCCAUUGAUUUUGUUGUUAGAGAUUAUCAGGGUCAAUAGAUUGGUUAGAUAUCCUAGUGAUGCAGGUAUUUCACCUUGAAGAGAAUUGUGAGAUAAAUCAAGAUAAGUGAGUUUUGAAAGAUNUCCUAGUAAUGCAGGUAUUUNACCUUGAAGAGAAUUGUGAGAUAAAUCAAGAUAAGUGAGUUUUGAAAGAUUUCCAAUUUGAGAUGGAAUAGUACCUUUUAGACUAUAGGAGACCUCAAGAUGUUCCAAAUUCUUGAAAGCAGAGAGGUUUAGUGUUGCUAAUUCAAUCGGUUGUUCGGGAUAUUCAUAUGCUAUACGAGUUACACUUCCAACAUCAUUGCAACUUAUACCUUCAGUCGAUGAACAGAUAUCAUCUGAAUCUGACAGAGACCACCAUCUACUACUGAUUAUAGCGUUUGCUUCCAACUGAAGCUGUGAUGGUGUAGACACGCAUCCAAACUCUAAAACAGAGCCCAUUAAAAGCAAAGCAUAAAUAAAAAGAUGGAAAUUGUAAACCAAAAACUGCAUCCUCUUCGAAUAGAGGUAAUAAAUAGAAGGUAUAUUUAUGAGAAACUCAAGUUUCACCAA
rnacentral:lncRNA from 1 species